rnacentral:snRNA from 1 species
UGGCUUGGCCAUCACCGAUACUGGAAGCUUGGAAUGACACAGAGAGAAUUUGCAUGAUCAUUGCACCAGAUGGCAUGCACCUUCAGGAAGAAUUCCAUAUUUUG